rnacentral:rRNA from 1 species
AUAUUUAAAUAAAUUUUUAUUUUUUAAAUUUAUUUUAAUUAAAAUAAUAUUAAUAGUUUUAAUUUUAGUAUAAUUAAGAAAAAAUUAAUAAAUUUAUAUUUUUAGUAUUGAAAAAGAAUUAUGUAAAAAUUUUAUAAUAAAAUUUUUUUAAAUUUUACCUUUUGUAUCAGGGUUUAUUAAAAAAUAUAAAUUUAUUUAUUUUUUUCUCGAAAUAAAUUGAUCUAAUUAAAUAUUGUAGUUAAUGUAAAAAAAUUAUUACAAAUUUUUAAUUAGAAAAUAUAUUUUUGUCAAAAUUUAAUAUCUAGUUAUUUUAUAAAUAAAUUUAAUUUAUAUAGAUUAUAAAUAAUUUAUUAAUUAUUUAUUGAAUUAUUUUAAUUUAUAAAUAUUUAAAGGGAUAAUCUUUUAAAUAAUUUUAAUAUUUAAUUUUUUUAUUUUAUUUAAAUAAAAAUAAAAAUUUUUAUUUUUAAAUAAUUUUUAAUAAUUAAUAAAAUUAAAAAAUGAUUUUUAAUUAAAUUUAAUUAAUUAUAAAAUUAUUAAUCUUAAUAAUUUAGUUUAAUAAAUAAUGAUAAAAUUAGUAAAAAUUAAAUUAAUUAAUUUAUUAAUUGAUAGAUUUAACUAAGGAAUUCGGCAAAAAUUUUUUGUUCACCUGUUUAAUAAAAACAUGGUUUUUUGAUUAUAAUUUUAAAUCUAAUCUGCUCAAUGAAUUUUAAAUAGCUGCAGUAUCCUGACUGUACAAAGGUAGCAUAAUCAUUUGUCUUAUUAAUUAAGUCUGGAAUGAAAGAUUGAAUGAAAUAAAAUCUGUCUCAGUUAAAAAAAUUGAAUUUUAUUUUAAGUUAAAAUUCUUAAAUUUUAUAAAAAGACGAGAAGACCCUAUAGAAUUUUAUAAAUUUUUAUUUUUAAUUUUAUGAAUUUAAUAUUAAAUUUAAGUUUUAUUUGAUUGGGGUUAUUUAAAAAUUUAAUUAAAUUUUUAAUUUUAAAAACAUUAAUUUAUGAAUUUUUUAUCCUUUAUUAUUGAAUUUAAAUUAAAUUACCUUAGGGAUAACAGCGUAAUAUUUUUGGAGAGUUCAUAUUGAUAAAAAUGAUUGCGACCUCGAUGUUGAAUUAAGAUAAAAUUUUAUUGAAGAGAAUAAAAGUUUUAAGUCUGUUCGACUUUUAAUAAUCUUACAUGAUUUGAGUUUAGAUCGGCGUGAGCCAGAUCGGAUUCUAUCUUUUAUUAAUUUAAAUUUUAUUGUACGAAAGGACUUAAAAUUUUAAAUAAUUUAUUACUGAUAUUGAAUAAUUUU